rnacentral:rRNA from 1 species
GACGAACCGUGCGAACGUUGUUCGGAUUCACUGGGCUUAAAGGGCGCGUAGGCGGGCGGUCAAGUCAGGGGUGAAAUCUUUCGGCCUAACCGGAAAAGGGCCUCUGAUACUGGCCGUCUCGAGGGAGGUAGGGGCAUGCGGAACUUCCGGUGGAGCGGUGAAAUGCGUAGAUAUCGGAAGGAACGCCGGUGGCGAAAGCGGCGUGCUGGACCUCUUCUGACGCUGAGGCGCGAAAGCCAGGGGAGCGAACGGG